AGGUCACCCAAACUGAAAUUUUAAAAUUUAAGUUUUUGUGUGUUUGACCCUAUGGAGCUUUAAUUAACAACUUAACAUUUUAAAUCAAACCACCUACUGGAUCAAACACACAAAAACUUAAGUU